rnacentral:rRNA from 1 species
AUGUCUGUUUCUACAGCUAUUGUUACGUGUUUGCUGCUGUUAUGCAUGUCUUGCUGUUCUUCUAGUUUGCUAGAUUAUUGCAUGCUAGGAUCUCUUCUAGUCAUGAAUUAUUUACUGGAAUUAAUCAUGAACUUGCCUAAUAUUCCAACAAUCCAAAAACCUAAUUCUAGGCAAUUUCCUGAGUUAACUAUGGCUGGAUUCGCUGAUGCACUGAGGCCGGAUAAGUUUACCGGUGUGCACUUUAAGAGGUGGCAGGUGAAGACCACGCUCUGGCUUACUGCUCUGAAAGUUUUCCACGCUAGUGUUGGUGCUCCAGAGGGAAUGACCGACGAAGAUCGGAGAAAAUUCCAGGAAGCCAAUACUAUGUUUGUGGGAUGCAUUCUGAGUGUUCUUGCUGACCGUCUGUGUAAUGUGUACAUGCACAUAAACGACGGAAAAAUUCUGUGGGAUGCACUGAAUGCAAAAUUCGGUGCAACAGAUGCAGGCAGUGAACUGUACAUCAUGGAGAGUUUUCAUGACUACAAGAUGGUGAAUAACCGUUCUGUGGUUGAACAAGCUCAUGAGUACAGUGCAUUGUGA